rnacentral:rRNA from 1 species
UACGUAGGGGGCGAGCGUUAUCCGGAUUCAUUGGGCGUAAAGCGCGCGUAGGCGGCCUGUUAGGUCGGGGGUCAAAUACCGGGGCUCAACCCCGGUCCGCCCCCGAUACCGGCAGGCUUGAGUCUGGUAGGGGAAGGCGGAAUUCCCAGUGUAGCGGUGGAAUGCGCAGAUAUUGGGAAGAACACCGGCGGCGAAGGCGGCCUUCUGGGCCACGACUGACGCUGAGGCGCGAAAGCUAGGGGAGCGAACAGG